GGGGCAAUGCUUGUGGAGGAUGUUCGAGCCAAGAGAAGUGUUUUGGUGGAGAGAGCACCCAAGAGUAGAAAAGCUUUCCAAUGGUUAGAGUGAUGUUUCCGACCUCCAUGAGUUUUUGAGGUAUCGUCGAGCUCUAGACGUUAAAUUAAGCACUUGUUGGGAGGUAACCCAACUGUUUUUCUUUGUUUUGUUUUUCGUUCUUUUAGUAUAGUUUUGUUUCGUUUUGUUUCUUUUUGUUUUGUUGUUUUUUUGGGUUUUUAGUGCGGUGUUGAGCUUGUUGCGAGAACUCGCGCUUUGUUCAUACUACCGCAGUGGGUCUUGUGUUUCUCUGCCAGAUUUCUGGAGAUUUU
rnacentral:lncRNA from 1 species